rnacentral:rRNA from 1 species
GAUGAACGCUGGCGGCGUGCCUAAUACAUGCAAGUCGAGCGAACGGACGAGAAGCGUGCUUCUCUGAUGUUAGCGGCGGACGGGUGAGUAACACGUGGAUAACCUACCUAUAAGACUGGGAUAACUUCGGGAAACCGGAGCUAAUACCGGAUAAUAUGUUGAACCGCAGGGUUCAAAAGUGAAAGACGGUCUUGCUGUCACUUAGAGAUGGAUCCGCGCUGCAUUAGCUAGUUGGUAAGGUAACGGCUUACCAAGGCAACGAUGCAUAGCCGACCUGAGAGGGUGAUCGGCCACACUGGAACUGAGACACGGUCCAGACUCCUACGGGAGGCAGCAGUAGGGAAUAUUCCGCAAAGGGCGAAAGCCUGACGGAGCAACGCCGCGUGAGUGAUGAAGGUCUUCGGAUCGUAAAACUCUUUUAUUAGGGAAGAACAUAUGUGUAAGUAACUGUGCACAUCUUGACGGUACCUAAUCAGAAAGCCACGGCUAACUACGUG